UUGUUAUCUUUUCAUGAUUUCCGCAUAUAUUUGGUCACUUGUCGUUGGCUCUCGCAGAGAUUUGGGACCUGUGAGAAAUUAGAGUUUUCCUAGUUUCCUUAUUUAAAUGAAAAUCGACAGUGCGAAUUUCGGUUCCCACAAUCGGCAAGCGAACGAAGAAGAGGAAAGCCCAAAAUCGAAAACAAGUCGUCCAAGCAUAAAAAAUCAAUAUUUUAUUCACUCAUUUCUUCCUCCACGCAAACCCAAUUCCAUUCUUCUUCUUCUUCUUCUUCUCCAUCGAUCAAUUCUCUCUUCUCUUUUCAUCGUAUUUCCACCGCCCUUGAACAACAAGUUGUGAGUAAGUUUUGUUCUCAUAGCUGAACCUUCGCUUUUCACGUCUCUCUCUGCGCCGUUUCCUUUUGUGGGUCGCUGGUAAAGUUUUGAUCUUUUUGUUUCUACUUAUCAGAUAAAGUUGGAAACUUUAUUAGUUCGUUGUAUAUCCUAUUAGGUAUUGGGUUUGGCCGUUUCAAUUUUGUGUGGCUCCUGAUUGAAUCACUCUUCUUCGUUUGGUGUAAGGGAAUUGGGUUUGAUCAAGGAGUAUUGUUUAUGUGCUUAAACCUUGUUUCGGCCUCUCUCGGUUGAGUAUAGAUUACUCUCUACUCUGUGUUUGAGUGCUUUCUCAUAUUGCUAAGCAUGUGCUGCAUUAUCUAUAGAUCCUGCCUGAUGCGGGCAUCAAAUCCACUGCUCAUAAAGUAGACAAGACUUUCCAUGUUUGGACUCGGAUGAACCUAGACGACAUCAAACUCAUGGUUCGUUUUAUUCAGCAGGAUGUCUCCAAACAAAGGCCACCACUUAAGCCUCUUUAUCAGCUAAUAAAGAUGUGGAUCAAAGGUAUUAAAGGCGUGGUCAACAUCUCCUUAAUAAGCAGAUUUCAAUCCCUUGAGAACAGCCCUUUUGACCAGCCAUUUGAUUCUCUCUUAAUUACGAUUUGUCCUAAAAAUCCGCCUUUCAUUAUGUCUUUGAUCUUGUCCAAGAGCUAUAUAUAAAGCUCCUCUCAUUUCAUUGCAAAGAUAGACUUGAGUAUUGAAUAGAAAGUGAUAUUUUCUCUUGAGAGCUUUUAUGUUUGUUCUUGUUAUUUCUAAGUUAUGUGAGAUUCUUUCUUAGGAUGCAAGUGUGGAACCUUUAUCUUUGUGUGUGAUUCAUUUAGAUUCUGGUUCAUGAUCUUAUCUCAAAGCCUUCACAUCUUUGAGUGGCGAUCUUCAAUCCAUUUAAGCCGUAGGUUUUGAUUUCUUGUGAGAUAAGCUAAGGUGUGAUUCUGAGGCUGUAUCACUGCCAGUGCGAGAAUGCUAUGUGUUGAAUAAUAAAGGAAAUGUUUUAAUUGGUGAAUAGUAAUCUUAGUAGGAAAAGGUUAGGUGGGUACUUUAUAUCUAGAAUCAUGGUAGACAGUAAUUAAAAAUGCCACAACUCACAAGUUCCCUAUCUUGGUCUGGUCUGUAUGUCUGGUUCUAAGUAUCUGAUCUGCCUUUGUGCUUCAUUUAUUUUCAUUUUAUCUGAUUCUAGCUCCAACAGUGGGUACAUUUUUUAUCUGUCAUGAUGCUUUAUUGUUUGAGGCAGGAUUUGUAGCUGCAUUCUCGUGAGGCACUUCGCUCUUAAUACCCUUACGUGGUAAAACAGGUAAUGGACUGGCUUUGUUGAUCAAUCGGCAGUCUUUACAAAUGAUGAGUACAGGGUAAAAGGCUCCAAACGUAUUCAACUUUUUAAAAUGGCAAGUGAUUGAGCUAUCUAACUGCGAUUGAGCUAUCUAACUGCGGUGAAGUACCAAGUCCCGGCAGAGAGAACCCGUCCGGACUUUUUAACGGAGAGAGCUUAACUGUUCAGCCCAUUUCUGAUUUGGAUCUCUUCUUCGAGAGGCUCUACAGCUACUACAUAGACAAAGGCCUCUGGUGUAUUAUAGUAAAGUGGGCUGUUGAGCUUCUAAGCCUUGGCUUUAUCAUGUGUCUCUGGUACUAUAACAGUGGUAUUAGCGUGGUCUUAAGAAUGCAAAAUGUGGAAUGGAUGUUGUUGAAUCUGGGACUAAGCCAUGCGAUCUUGUCAAAGAGGUUAUCCAUGAGCAUCCUUUGUCCCCUUUCACGCUCACAAUGGCUAUCAUCGUUGGAUAUUUGGCUCUCUUCUCUGUCUACUGGCUCUUCUGCUUCUAAGGUUCUUCGCCCAGUUGAAGGAUACUUUGGACUCCCGGCACUUUUACUACAACAGUCUCCAUGUCACAGACAACGAAAUCCUGACUAUGCCAUGGGAAACAGUCCUUGAAAAGGUUGUUCAGUUACAAAGCUCACAGCGCCUUUGCAUGGUGAAGGAUCUUUCAGCUCAUGAUAUUGUUAUGCACCUUAUGCGGAAAGAAAACUACUUGAUCAGAAUGGUCAACAAAGGUUUGCUUUCUUUCCCGAUCUCCCAUUGGAUCCCUGGUGCUGCUCCUGUAGUCAAAUCUGCUCCACAUGGGACGCAACAUCACCACCUUGUAUUGACAAAGACCCUUGAGUGGACCCUGAACUGCUGCAUAUUGCAGAGCAUGUUUGACUGGGGAAAAAGGGAAUGGUAGUCUCUCUCUUUUCUCUCUUUCCGAGAAUUUUUGAGAGAUCGAGAGGCGCGGUGGUUUCCUCUCGAACAGUGAGUAUCGACUCUGGUACACGGCGGUCCUCUUGACGGUGUGUAGCCGGCUUUGCUUCUGGUGGUUUGCGCCCCUUUGGCGGAACUAUCCGGCGUUCUUUCCGGCGAUGAAACGCUGACGGUGGUGCGAGCUCUAUCCCGAGCCGUUUCUGUUUGUCUUCGGUGCUGGUCGCCGGCUAAAGUAUUGGAUGAUCGGGUUGGUGUCGUUUGGUUUCCUCGGGAGUGAUUGAGGAGUGUGACGGGUUCAUUAUGGUGAUUGUGGGCCUGAGUUUGGAUGAGAUCUCGAUUCCGUUUUUGAUUGAAGUUCUCCGACGCUCAGGUGUAUCAAUUGAAGAAGCUGAUUCCAUUAAACUUCCAAUACAGUCGUUGGAGGUGGUUUCAGUGGCUUGGAUAGAUCCCGGUUGAAUCCGGUGAAGUGGUUGCCUUUGGUGAAGAAUGGUUUGUCGGUAAAGACGGUGAGUCUCAAGUUUCCGGUGUGAUUCCGGAGGAGAGACGUUUAGCGGUUCCGGCGGCGUUGUCAAGUCGGUGGGGAAGGGGACGUGUUCAAUCCUUACACACGUGUCUUCUCGUUCUUGUGUGCUCCCACACGUGGUGGGAAAGGGAGUUUCUAGUUUGGACCUCACUUUUGUUUUCCUGAGCUUUUUUAUCUUUGGUUUGGGUUAGUUUUUUAUGGUUGGGUUUUAGAACCUUGUUUUGUAUGUUUGGGUUUCGCCCUUUGGGCUUGGGCUUUUUUAUAAAUAAAAAUAGAUGAAAAAAAAAGUAUACUUUUUCACUUCUAUAUAUGCGACCGAUGGUGUUACAAAAAAAAUAAUAUAUGCGACUGAUGACUAAGUCAUGACAAAGUUAAUAGACACGUUGACAAAAACAAAAGUUAAUAGACACGUGCUGUAAAUGAAGAUGCAUGCACUUAUUCACUUUCGCUUGCUCUCAACUUUCAACGGAUAAAACGCCUUGAAUGAAACGAAUAUUCUAGAUCUAUCCGAAACAUAUUAAAGUAGACUAGUAUACUUUGUUUCCAGUUUUGUAUUCGAAACGAAUGACAGCAAACAACCAAACAAGACUAAGAUUUUUAUGCAAAUAAAUAAAAUUAGAAAUUUGCUCAAAAAAAAAAAUAUAAAUAAGUAUUAAAAUUAUAAAACAAACUGUACUAAGAUUAUAUGUUGAUCCAUUAUUUUAAUUAUAUACACAGAUAUUUAUAUAAUUAUUAAUGUACCAUUUAUAUUAUUAUCUUAUCAAAUUCUGUUAAUUUUUACAUUGAUUCAGUUUUCAAACAAAAUAAAUAAUUUACUAUAGCCGUCAUUUGGAUUUUUUUAUUGUUGCCGGCUAAUUUUAAUGUGUAAGAAAAAUAAAUAAAUGCAUAUACGGAAAGAAUACAAAACCCACAAAAAAAUAUUUAGUAAACAUAUAUAGACAGUAGAAAAAAUAAGGAGAAAUUUUAUUUUUACACUUUGUUUGAUACCACUAUUCAACUUUACCACCAAUUUAGGAACAUUUCCAUAAAUACAACUUUCAUUAAUGAACAAAAAACAAUAGUACCCUCACUACAAAAAAACAUAUUU